rnacentral:lncRNA from 1 species
CACUGAACUUGGUCUUGGCUUCAGUUCCACCCAGAGACAAAGUCCGUUUCCAGGCCAAUUUCCAUAUGAAAGCAGCUGAGAUCUCUUUCCCCAUUCUGGAAUUCCAGGCAGCACCCAGGGCUCUGACUUCUCAGACUCAAGAGUUUUUGCCCAACUUUCCCCCCUCAUCCCAACUCACCCCUAAUCUCCUCCCACUCCAGUUUCUCUGGCCACAGGAUUUCCACUUCUCCCAGCACAGUGUUGUGGCCCUGAGAGAGCGUCUGUGAACUCAACUCCAGAACAACUCGCUUCACGUUUCUCUGAGGAUGACGGUGAGGCCCGAGCCCUGCAGUUCGGAGGAGGCCCCCUUGGACUCUGCAGUUUUGCAGCUGACCCGGGACUACUGUCUGGCAGGGGAGGGCAAAGGAAGAGAAGAAGCACUUUUCUGAUGGGACAUUCGAUGAUGCUUCUUAGUGGGCGUGGCGCUUCCAUUCAAGUCCCCCAUCUCAGUCAGAGCUGGGGACUUGCAGUUUGUCCUUGCCUGACAGGGAUUCGAAGGGCCAAAUUGUUUCUAGAGAAUAAAACGGGCUGGGCUUGGAGAGAUAUGCAGCUUCGACCUGUGCUGCUUAGAACAUCCCCUCCUGGAACCCCGCGAUGCUGUGAGAAGCCCACACUACAUGGCGAGACCACAUGGGGGAAAACUGAGACACUCUGAUCAACAGCCCAGUGCUUCUCUCUGCUGACAGCCAGCAUUGAUGUCCAGCCAAGUCUGCCAGCAUGACCCUGGGAACACACGACACCCCACCACCCCUGAAGACAAUUCCUGCUGAUGACCUGAUGGGUGAGAAUUAUCACGCACACGAGGAGAUACGGUGUAUGACUUGCAGUACAUACAGCGAAGGAACAAAGACCACGGCCUUGAAUGAUAGGCAAUAAAGAAAGAAGAAAAGGACUUUAAAAUUUAUAUAUUUAAAAUAGUCAAAAGAUGAAGAAAGAAUUAAAUCCAUAAGGUAGUAAGGGGAUAUUAUGAAAAAAGAGCAAGAAUGGUUGAACAAAAAACGAAACUGAAAUUCUAGAAAUGAAAAGCAAUUGGAAUUUAAAAAGUCUCAUUGGAUGUACUAGACAGUAGACUACAUAUAUCUCACACACACACAAAGAAUUAGUGAAUCUGAAGCCAGAUCUGAGCACUUAAAAUACAGCACAAAGAGCUAACGAGAUACAAAAUAAAAAGGAGUUAAAAGACACAGUGGGCUAUACUGAGUAGUUCCAACACCGGUCUAACGGGGAUCCAAGGAAGAGAAUAUAAAGGGAAUGUGGUGGGUUGUACAAUUCGUCUAGAAACAAAUAUCUGAGUCCUUGAGUUGGAAAAUGAUUGAGUCCCAAAUAACAGCACUUGCUGCACAACUAAAUUAUGAGUUGAGAAUAUAUAUAUUAUUUAAAUGUAAUUGUAACUUUAUUAGAACUCAUUUUCAUAUCAUAUCUUUUGUAAUUUCCGCUAUCAACAAGGCUGGAUCUUUGGUCUAUCUUUCUUCAUUUUCUCUGGCCCUUUCCCCCAUAUCUGUGUCUUUCCUCACUGUGUUUUCCUUAUCAGGAAUGCCCAAGUCCAUCCCCAAGGCCGAGCAGAGCCCUACCACCUCCUGGAAGCCUCCUCUGACCUCCCGGGCAUUGUCUCUACUUUCUCUGAAAUUCUACAGCGUGAAGUCUGUUCACUUUUUUGGCUGUUAGUCCAUUGGCUUUUUAAUGAGCUCUUUGGGAGCUCUUUCAAGUUGAGGGCCUCACUUCAUAUUUCUCUGGGCUCCCCAGUGACUUAAUUUGUUCUCAAUAAAUGUUAGUCCGCUAAUUGAUGGCUAAACCUCUAAAGAUUUGUGAGAGUAAUUUUUGGGAAGAUCAAAGGGAUAACAAUGGGAAAGUGUGUUGAAAGCUUUUAUAAGAGCCUGAUGUUACCGCCCCUGCACCUCUACGAAAAUAACAACAACUGCUGGGGCCGGCCCAGUGGCACAGUGGUUAAG